UUUCCGCCUCUUGGCAGCUUCCGGAAGUUCUCAAAAUGCUGAACUGCUCUUUGGAAGUCGCCGGGACUGUAGUACUUGGGGUUUGUUCUCGGGCCUGAGCCUCCAGGCUAGGCUUCUGGGUGUCGUUAAUGUUCGGGGCCGCCGGGCGCCAAGGGAUCGGAGCUCCAGCCGCCGGGAACAGCUGGCAUUUCAGUAGGACCAUGGAAGAGCUGGUUCACGACCUGGUCUCAGCCCUGGAGGAGAGCUCAGAGCAAGCCCGAGGUGGGUUUGCUGAAACGGGAGACCAUGCUCGAAAUCUGUCCUGCCCUCUGAAACGCCAGGCCAGGAAAAGAAGAGGGAGAAAGCGGAGGUCAUACAAUGUCCACCACCCAUGGGAGACUGGGUACUGCCUAAGCGAAGGCUCUGAUUCUAGUUUAGAAGAACCAAGCAAGGACUAUAGAGAUAAUCACAAUAAUAACAAAAAAGAUCACAGUGACUCUGACGACCAGAUGUUAGUGGCCAAGCGCAGGCCGACCUCAAACCUAAAUAAUAACAUCCGAGGCAAGAGACCCCUCUGGCAGGAAUCUGACUUCGCUGUGGACAAUCUGGGGACCAGAACUCUUCGCAGGAGGAGAAAGGUGAAGCGCAUGGCGGUGGACGUCCCACAGGACAUCUCUAACAAACGGACAAUGACCCAGCCACCCGAGGGCUGCAGGGAUCAGGACAUGGACAAUGACAGAGCCUACCAGUAUCAAGAAUUCACCAAGAACAAAAUGAAGAAAAGGAAGUUGAAAAUAACCAGACAAGGACCAAAGAUGCAAGAUGAAGGUGUAGUUUUAGAAAGUGAGGAAAUAACCCCGACCAACAAGGACAAAAUGGAUUAUGAAGAGCAAAAGGUCUCAGAUGAGCUCAUGAGCGAAAGUGAUUCCAGCAGCCUCAGCAGCACUGAUGCGGGUUUGUUUACCAAUGAUGAAGGAAGACAAGGCGAUGAUGAGCAGAGCGACUGGUUCUACGAGAAAGAGUCGGGUGGAGCGUGUGGCAUCACUGGUGUCGUGCCCUGGUGGGAGAAGGAAGACCUCACUGAGCUGGACAAAAAUCUGCCGGACCCCGUCUUUGAAAGUAUCUUAACUGGUUCUUUCCCCCUUAUGUCGCAUCCGGGGAGAAGAGGUUUCCAAGCCCGACUCAGUCGCCUCCAAGGAAUGUCUUCCAAGUGUAUUAAAAAACCCACAGGGACCCCACCUUCAAUGAUCUGGCACCAGGAGACUUCUGGCUUUACCCAGGGUCAGAGUGAUGCAGAAGAGCAGUGGUUUAAAUGGAUUCAGGACAUAGAGGCAGCCAGCACAGCACAACUGAAGAUGAUCAUGAAAGAAAACGUCCAGAAAGGCCAAGAACAGCUGGAUAAGUAUCCCCAAAAUGAGAGACUAUUUUGAGGAGGAUUAAAGCAAUAUGUCUUUUAGUGUAAUGAAUUUUUUUAUUUAAACAUUCAUCAAUUUUUAUUAUACCUUAUAUAUAUGAAGCAUAAUAUUGUGUUUAAAUAUGUCACCUAUAUUACAGACAGAAACUUGUCACAAUAAUGGUUAACCACUCUGUACAAGUGAAGUUACUUUAGCUUCAGAAGGGAAAAUCAUUUAUUCAAGAAUCCGUAACCAGUCUCUUAGAGCCAUUUUAAAUGAUCUUUUGCAUGUGCCUCAAAAAUCUAUGCUCCUUCCACAAUAAUGUAAAACCAUUAUAUAUAAUUAGUUUCAUUUUAAGUUUGGGAUUGAUGAGAUGAUGUGAAAAUGCUUUGAAAAAGUCAGUGAGUUAGAAAAUCAGUGAUUUGAGGAUCAUAAGACAUGAAUUGUGAUUCAGAAGCAUUUUAUAGAUUAACUUGUGUCUUCAGCUUAUUACCUUGUUAAAUGGUAAUAAAGUUUAUCUCUGCUUAGUUUAUGAUAUGGAUAUUAUGUACUGAAAGUUUUUAGAAAUUCAAAAUAUUGUCUUAUGAAGGAUAUAUUUCUGGGCACUACGAUACUGAUACAGGGGUAGGAAAAUAAACAAGUGGAAAAGAACAAAGAGUCCAGAGCAAAGCCACUUGAAUAGAGAUGUCUGUCAGAUGGCAGUGGUAAUAUUACAGAUCAUGGGAAAACAACAGGCCGUUUAAUCAGUGACAAGGAGGCAGUGUUAUUUAUAUGGGAAGUUAGAAACUCUACCCUGGAUCACACUACAAAAUUGAUUCCAAAUGGGUAAAACACAAAUGGAAAGGGAAAGGUUAAAGAAAAUAAUGAAGAAAAAACAUUAAAAUUAAAAUAAUAAAAAAAGAAAAUAAUGAAGAACAGCUCUGUGGCAGUCAGGAGUUCUUAGAUAGGGCAAAAGAACUUCAAGCCAUCAAGGAAGAGACUGAUGAUUUCACCUGCAUUAAAAUCAAGAAGUUGACAUUUUAAAAUGAUAUCUUCAUAUUUACAUGAAACGUAUACCAGGUCACAGACUGGGAGAAAUUUUUUUUGUAUGUGAAAUAAAGCCUGGCAGAAGGCUCAGCAAACACAAAAGUGAUUCCCAAAAGAGGAAGCACAAAUAGUCUGUAAACAUGAAAUUUUUUCCAAUUUAAUUAGAAAGUAGGGAGUAGUAAUUGAACUCCCAGUGAGAUCCCAUUUCUUGCUCAUCAGAUUGGCAAAACUUAAGAACUGACAAUACAGAUUGUUAGCAAAUUGAAAGUCAGGGGAGUGUGUACUAGUAUAUACGUGUGGAAAAAGGCACAAGCCCAUAGAGUGCAUACCUCAUGAAUUCACAAUUGUCCCUACCCCUUUGUUCUAGGACACAUUUUACAAAAAUACCCAUAAUGUCACUCUUUACAAUAGUACAAAACGUGUCCCAAACCCCACAAAUCAGUAUCAGCAGAAGAGUGGAUAAAAUACAUUUAUUCAGUGUAAAGUAUAUUAGCAGAAUAAAAAAGAAAACAAUGAGUCCAUCAGCAUUAAUGAAUCUUAGAAAACAGCUCCAUACAGGUCGAUUCUGUUUGUACAAAUUUGCAAAAGUAAACAUUAUUGUUUAGGGAUACAUACUUAGGUGAUAACUCUUGAGUGGAAAGAGAAAUAGUAAAUCAGAAUCGAGACUUGUUACCACCAGAAGAGAAGGGAGAGGUGCAGGUGAGGCAGAGGUGGAGAGGGGGUCUUGAGUGUGUCGACACUCUAAUGCUUGGCUCGGGUUGUCAACCCUUCCAGUACUUGUAGGUUUUGAUACAGCCUCGACCAUAUAAAGCCUGUAUUUUGCUACAAAGAAAGCAAAAAAAAAAAAAAAAAAAAGCUAUCAUGAUUUUCUUUUACAAUUUUAGUUCUAGUCCAUUUAUUGUUUAGAUAACUAUUUCAAGAAGGAAAACUUAAGCUUUUUUGAAGAAGCUAUGACGAUAAAUUCAUUUAUUACAUAAUCUCACUGUCUUUUCAGUAUGAGGAAAUAGCAGGUCACAAGAUUUGCAGGUUGUACCUGUUCUGCGUAGGUGAGGUACAAAGUAAACAGAAGAUGUGUUUAAGAUCCAGCUGUGCCGCCCUGCUAAUUUAUAACUAGACAAGUCUCUUUCCUCUCUGAACCUCAGUCCCUUGCUCAGUAAAAUGGAUGUGAUACUAAUCUUCACCCCGCAGAAAUGUAUGACACAGAGUGUGUGGCGGUUCAUCAGCUUUAUAAGGCAAAGUGCAGGUGUCAGUUUAAAGUUCUGCAAGAUCAGAAUUCCAGUCACCUCUAUGUGUUGCUGAGCAUUCCAGCAAAAGCCUGAGUUUUCCUUGCCAGAGCUGAUUUGGGAAUCGCAGGUGACUCUCGAAGCCUAACAGGUUCCCUAAGUGGGUCCAUAGGGAGGACUUCCUCACCUGCUGGCUUCCCUAGUGAACGUUCCUGCAGGCAGCCACUUCUGCCCUGGUGGGCAGUAGGUGAGGGUAAGGGAGGGUGGAGGCCUCUCAGCCUCUGGUCCCUGUUCUUCAGGAGUGAUAACUCGGGGCAGUUAGCAGAGAUGUUCAUUUGUGUUCAUUUUGUUUUUACCACGUUUUUUUGAGACGCAAUUUGAUUACUAAAUAUUACGCAACUUUUGCUUCACAGCGUCCCUGACACUAGUGAAGGUGAGAUUUAUAGUGAGACCAAAUACUUCAUCACUGUCAAACCUCGGUACCCUAAGACGCGAGCAUGAGCCAGUCCUCCGCCUUGCACUGACUUCAUAGCCAGAGUGCAGGAGGCAGCAGUAGUGAACACGUAAAACUACUUGUAAAAGAGGCCAGACAGAAGCUCCCCGCUUAGAGCUCCGAUUCCUCCACAGCCCCUAAAUGAAAGCAGCGCAUGUCACUAGAUUCUGGGGAAUCAAACAAGAUGGAGACAAUCUUGGCAAAUUGUUUGGUUUUCUGGUAAGUUCCGUGAGCUUACCUGUUUUCUGUAUUACUUGCCGCACUGAUCUUUUUUUCUUUUAAAGAAGACUUGCGACAGAAAAUGCCGACCUAUCUCAGUAAAUCUUGGUUUUACAAAUCCAUUAACAGUGAGGAUGUGGCAACCAAGAAGUAACAUUAAGCAGGAAAAGAUUCAAAUGUCAUAAAUUUUCAAGCCAUCUGUGCAUGAACACACUGGGGAGUGAACUGUGUACUUUAAAAGAAUAGAAAUUCUAUAAACUCCUGCUCUUUGUAACACUGGCUAUAAAAUCUUGCUAAGUAGUACAGGUAAAAGCUCUCAAAAAUCAUUCUAAGUAUUUGGCAGAGUAAGGAAAAUGCUUAUAUCUUUCUGAAAAAUAAUAUAGGGGAGAAUGACUUAAUCGAAAAAUCAAGAAUGAUUAUUUUUAUUACUGAUUUUUUAUUUCUCCCAAAUUAAGCUCAUUUAACAUAGUACAGCAACCUCCAAAUCUAAAAUGUAUGAGUAUAUUUUUGUCUUGAAGCAAGAUCAUUUUUUAUAUGUGAUCUUCAUUAUCCUAACAGCAUUACUGAUGUGCAAGUGUUUGCAUUAUCAUUAUUUGUGUAGGAAUUACAUUCCACCUGCUUCCCAAGCCAGAUUUAUAGUUAGACUAGUUUGAGUUUGGAAAAUUAAAAGAUUAUGUCAGAUUAAAUAAAGAUAUGUGUUUAUGUAUUCCUGAGUCAACACUUAGUAACUGCGGCAUUUACAGUAAUAACAAUGUUCAAAUUGUGGCGUGGCUGGUGUAGUAGUUUCGUUACUCCUUUCCUGUAGCUGUAACCUCUUAGUGAUUGCUGUGAGCAGUCUGUGCUACAGAUACCAUUUAAUCAAUUGCCAGGCGAUCUAGCAUUAUUAAUAUGAUCUCCAGAGAGGCUCCAGGACAGAUAGGGCCUGACUGCUUUACACCAGAAGCUUCUAUGACUUUCGGGCCUCAGUGAGGGCUGGGCUGCCCUAGCUGGCGGCCUCAUAAUUUCCCGAAGCAGGUGGAGGUGGCAAUUAUAGCUUCGGCCACUAUCCUGAACUUUCUGUAGUAGGUGAUGAAUUGCAAAUGGCUAGACCCUGUGCGCAACAAUAAACUCAAAUAAAUCUUCAAUGUGUAAUAAUGACAAGACUGAGAGACUGGCAGCUAUAACAAGGCUUCUGUUGUCACCCACUUUACUGCAGCCUUGAUAUUCAUCAUUAUCAGCUGGAGCUAGCUCAGGAGCUGGACAAGAAGGUCCGAAGAAGGAUGAGUUGUUUGCGCUGAAGCGUCCAGUUGGUCCCAUCUGGACGAGAGUAAAUGGGAUUUUUUUUGCCUGCUCACUAGGCCAGUGCUGUCCAUCAUUUGAGGCAGGUAUCUGAUCACUUCAUGCUGUGGGACAAUAUGGCUUUGCACUGUGUGGCUCUCUCUUGGUAGCUCAAUGUAACAUUUUUACCCUGGUUGGGAGCUGUUGGUUGCUUUUCAGUUACAUAAAAUUGCUGUUUGUUUCCCAAAACCCAGCUAAUUACAUUUUCCAUUGUUGGGAAGGGAUCUCUUAAAUGACAAAAUGAUUUUAACCCAACCUGUAUCACAAUUUAAAUCUGUGUUCUGAAUGCUGAGGGGUUUUUUUAUGUUGAACAAAAAAAUGUAUAUGUUGUUUCUUCAACACAAUAUAAUUUCCCAUUUCAUUUUUCAAAACAAUGUGGAAAACAGUGCAAAUCGGUUUUGCUGGAACUUUAGAAUUAUUUUUCAUAUCGUUUGAUAUUCCCUCAAUGCUGCCAUGGAAUCAUACACUAAGCAUAUUAUUAGUAAUGAUAAUAAUAAUAGUAAUGAUGAUGAUUAUCCUGGUGCAGUCCUGUCAAAAUUUAACAUUGAGGACUAUUUGAUGUAAAAUGAAAUCAUAGUUACUUGAUCCCUCAAUAUUUUAGUUUCAUGAUAAGAUGAAUCAGUAUAUGAUUCUAGGAUUUACUAGUGUUCCUUAAAGACCUCCCAAAUUUUUAAAAAUGUGGGAUUUUGUUGAGUAUUCACUUAUGAAAAGCAUCUAAUGAUAUAUUAUUCUGUUUGCUUUCUUCCUUGCCAUUAUGAUUUCUUAAAAUGUAAUUUUAUAUAUUUAGUAACUGAGAAGUAGUUGAUUUUCCAAUUAACCAUAGCCAGCCUUAAUAAAAACUGUCAGCAUCUUCUUAGUGUGUUUUUAUUACACCCUUUACAUUUAUUUUCCACCCUCAAAGGAAAAUGAUCGUUCAACUGUUUCUUAAUGUUUUCGAUCUGAUAUUUGUCUCUAAGCAAAAUGAGUAAUAGUAGAACCCUUUGGGCAUUUCUGCUUUUGAUUUAUAAGAUUCCCAUUAUCGUUAAAUAUAUAUUUUUAGAUAAGCCAAUAAUUGCAUAAUUCAGAUUCAAACUUCUCAGAUGAUUAAAAGGUAAGACUUGUGAGGUUUCCGUUUCUUCAAAGCACAGGUUCACCCCGAGUUGAGGCCAGCUGACACAACAUCGUUCAUCCUGCCGCCCCUUCAUAAUAAAUCUUGAAGCCUUGGGGCACCAGACUCAUGCAGAUUUCUUUGCAUUUUAGUGUCUGGGUGGAAUAACAACUCCAGUUUCAAAACCAAAGCAUAUUGUGUUUCAUCUCUGUAGACCCAGCUUCACCCACUAGUGGCCACAUGAAAUACAUGUCAAGAACACUGUUUUCUCAUACUGGAAUUUAGGUAAUUUGUUUUCAGACUGUGAGCAGUUUCAACCUAUUUUUGGAACCCCUCUGUGGCCUGCCCAUUCGUUCCAGCAUAAUUUAUGGUGGCAGUGUAACAUAUGGACUUUUCAUCACUGUCCAGCUGAAGCUCUCUGUUGAACAUGGAGUCUUCUCCCCGUGCCCUCCUGGGGCUCCUUCUACUACCUGAGGGCCUCUGGAACACAUACACCAGUAUUGAUUUUGUAUUAGGUGCCUGACCUGUGCCUUCAGCAUGGAAAGGUGCUAAGCAAUAUGAACACAAUCUGGAUAGCGUGUGUGUAUAGUGUUCAGUGUGUCAUGGUCAGUGUUUUCAGUGUCCUCUGGUAUGUAAAGGCUGAACUUGAGGUAUAGCCAGUGUGGUAAUUAUUUUUAAAAUGUAGAAGGUUCAACUCAUGCACAUUACUGCUAGUAAGUCAGUGUUCUUAUUUAAGUAUUUUACAGUACUGUGGUUACAUUAAAACGAAGUAUGAUUGAUGAUAUAUCUUCAUUUCUUAAUAAAGCUCGGCAUAUAGUGCUGAUAAUUGCAAACUGCAACAGUAAAAAACAACAGUUUUCUUAACCAAAAGCACAUGAUUUGACCUCCUUCCCAUCUGACCUUACACAGCCCUAGUUAUGUGGCUGGUGUAAACACUAGCUCUCUCCUGUACGGUGGGUUAACCGUAACACUUCUGAGUAUGUUUGUUGCUUGAAUGGAUAUAAAUGCACAGUACAGUACCAGGCACAGCUUCCUGAACUGUUAGAUACAGUUACUCACACGCAACCUAGAAUUGGGUUGUUCUUUCUGUUUCUCACUUCAUGGUCCAGAUUGCUAGAGCAUGUGGCAAAGGGGACAUCCCUGGCCCUGUUCUCCUGGCUGAAAGGCGAGAUGUCUUGAUUCCUCAGAUGCAUUAGCCUAGAUCUGUGCAGUGGGAGUCUUGGGUAGAGUGUGGCAAAGCAUUGGUCGCUGGCCAGCGCCCGGUUUCUGCCUCCUGGGGUGUGAGUUAGGGUCCUUCCCACACUUUGCAUUUCUGUCAGGUCCUACUUGACACUGUGCCACCAGGAUCCUCCCUCUGAUCGCUCUGGAAUGGCCCUGGCCUUCGCUAACCCUGAGAGUGAAGUGAGCAGGUCUAUGAGGCCCCAGGUUUGCCUCUCCGGAGCAGAGGCGUGGGCACCCGAAAUCUUUUUUUGUAUCUGACCUAAGGUGUUUGCCCUCCUGACUAGUCUAGAAUUCUCUCUUUUUUGUGGAUGGAUUCUCUAGGACUCUUAUUUUCUUAAUGACUUAGGGCUGCUGAAAUUAUUUUGAUUAAAUUAAAAUGUUAUUUCAAGUUACAAAUCCUUUUACAAAUAUAUAAUCUAAUACAUAAGUGUGUGAAAGUAUAUCUAUCCAUGUAGGCAGAAAUUAACCGUAAUGUUUGUGUUGAUAUGUUAUUUAAUUACACUUACUAAUCAUGUAAUUGCGUAUCUUAAUUAUCACGCAUUUUACUUGCUUCCUUACAUGUAUUUAAAUAACUACAUUAAUAUAAUACAUGAUUAAAAGUGCAGUUCAGGAGCACACACUGCUCACACUCGAACAGGCGUUCAUCAUGGUUACAAGAAACAGAUGGCGAGUUCUUACUGGCCAGAGGAAGUUAAAAAUCCUUUGAAAUUAUUUCAUUUAUGAGCUAAGUUACUUUAUUUUUGGAAACAAAUUAUGGAUGAUGAUUUUCCAUUGUGGGAGCAAAUUAUCAAACUUUUUUAUUUUGUUUCAUUUAUAUAUUUUUCUCAGCCUAUUUAUUGUAAGCCACGCAAAUUCAGUUGUGAAUGAGUGUCCAUCUCCUCAGAGGGGUUUGCUCCGUUCAGUGUUGAGUGGUUUUCAUUUUUUGUUGUUUAUCAUCGGACUUCCCCCCUGAGGAUGAUGACUUUGAAGGCGGUGACUGUUUUGUUUACCUCUUUGUCCCCAGGUUCAAAUCAGUACCCAGCAUUGAGCAGGUGUCUAUAAGUGUUUGGUAAAUAAAUGAAUAAUAAUUGUUGUCUCUUACUAGGUGUAUACUGCUAUUAGAUCUGUUUCCGUAUAUUCACAAGUAUUUACAUAUUCAAUCCUCAUUAUGGCCUGUGAAAACAGAUAUUUUAAUCACCAAGGAACUUGAGCUUACAAGCCCACACCGUGGCUUGUGGAGUGCCCUGACCUGAUGUGGGACCUGGGUUCCCACCAUGGGCUUGGGCUGCCUCAGCCUGGGUACUAUUUAGGUGAGAACAUGGGAACCCAUGAUGAGCAUGUCAGGAAGACUGGAGACUGAAGCUGAGGGGGAGACAGUGUCUCCAUGCAGAGCUCUUAUAUGAAGGAAGUUUUUGGAAAUGAGGUUUGAUUUUGUUUGUACUUAAUUUGCAGCAAUUGGCAUCAAUGUAAAACAUGAUAUUUACACCCAACUAAACUGAAUCUACAUGCAGUGAAAGUUUUCAGCCUUUAAACUUUUCUUUUUUCCCCUGACUCCCAAGAGUUUGCGUAGAGUAAGUUAAUUUUUAGAUGGAUUUACUGGUAAGAAGUCUUCCUGUGUGAUGUGUGGCUGCUGUUGUCGUUGCUGUUGCUAUUGCUGUUGUUGUGGAUUGCAGAGGUGGUGGUCACAGUGCUGGAGCUCCUCUGUGAGGCAGGCGCUGUCCCACUGAUCAGUGCUCCUAGCUCAAGAAUGGUACCCUUUCUUUCUUUAGUUAUCUAACUCAACUAGCCCAUCCUUUGUUUAUUUUCACACAUAGCUCUGAGGUGUGUCUUGCCAAGGAAUCUGAGUGAUCUGGGAAUGUGUGCUGAAAGAAGAAUGAAUUAACAUUUGAGUGAAUGAAUGAAUGUCCAGAGGUGCUCAGCAUUCAGCUUCUUUCUGGAUGAUUUUCAUUCAUUUGUGGUCCUCAGGUCUCAGAGAUGGAGAAAGAAAAACAUACCAAUCAAAACAACUGUGCUUAUGGGCAGUUUCCACACAUAGUAACAGGAAUAUCAGAGAUAUUUCUGAAACGUUUUUAUCCAAAAGCCACACAUACCAUCUUAAUUUUCCAGCUGUUAGAUGUCCUUGACAAUGCUGACAUAGGCAUUCUAAUAUUUAAAUGUGUUUGGCAUGGAGGGAGAGUCUGUGCCCUCAAGGGAAAUAAAACCUAUACAAUUAAUGUGAGAAACUCUCUUAAGUACUUGCCUGGGUUUUCAGUUGCCAUUUAGUCAUUGAGAUCAGUUAAAAUGCAUCUGGUGUGACCCCUCACCUAGCCCAUUGUAAAUGUUCAGAGAACAGAUCUGUCGUUCAGCCGAGACCUUCUUUCAGGGCUACCUGCACAGAACUGAAGAGACUGGGCAGAAGCUGAAGGGUUUUGCACAGAUGCUUAGGCACCGGGAGACAAAGCUGCACAGGAGGGAGGAAAAAACAAGCACUUGUGUGCAAGGAGAACAACUUUUUUUUUUCCAUCUUGCAGUAGAAACUCCUCAGGUGUUACCUCUAUGAUUAUGUUUGUUGUUUUUAACGAGAAAGCAGCACCUCCCAGCCUACAUCCCCCUAAAAUGCUUAUAAAUUAUAUUACGUGAAAAAAUAAAUAAAUUUUAUCACAUGAAUAAAUUGAGUUCUUGACAUCAAACCUGUAAAUAUUCAGAGUAUUCUUUCUGCUGUAGAUGCUUCUGAUUUUGCGUAGGCUGAGAGAGGCAGGUGCCUCUGAGUCCUAACUGCGCAGGUAAUCACUGUUCCUUGUGGAGUGACAGCUCCGUAGAGAGAGGCUCCUUUCUCAGUGGGAACCAGGAGGCUGGCGACAACAUAUUUAGAGCACUGCAGUCUGCGCCAUGAUGCCGAACCUUGGCGCUUUGAGUGCAGCACACAGCCAGCGGUUCCCCACCGCUGGUCCAGGUCCUCGGCCAGAGGCAACAUGGAGAUAGCACUGAAGUGUAGGAUUACAGGUGCCUGUUAACAUCUGCCCGUGUGCUCAAAGGUGCAUAUUAUGUUUUCGUUGGUUUUUAUUUCAAAGGGAAAAAACAUAGAAAAGAAGCAAAAGAGAAACCACACCAACAAUAACUCCAAAACGAUAACAAUAUAGGCUUUCAAAACCAGACGAUAGGAACUUAACAGUGGUUGUUAUAUUGCAUGUGGUUAUCUUCAAAAGAGUUGCUUAGAUAACAGAUACAGAUGUGCAAAAUUGAUCUAAUCAUGUGAGUAUUAACUGUUCUUUUCCAAGAACUAAUAGAAUUAGUAGUAUAGUCAUCUUGGCUAUCUUAUGUAUGUAUGUACAAAUUUGUAUCUUUUUCCUUUUCCCUUCUUUCUUCCCUCCUCUCCCCUAUCCCAAUUAUUUUUGCCCUUUGAGCAGUUACUAACCCUUACACAAUAUUUACUGUGUAUUUUGCAUCUUAUUUAAUCUUUCAGUUUCUUGUAGUACAGAGGCAAUACGGUAUUUACACAUGUGAGUUUGAUUUAUUUCCCUUAUGAGUAUGGUCUCAAGUCACAUCCAUUUACCUACAAAAGCCUCUAGUUUAUCCUUCUUUAUAGCUGAGUAGGUCUCCACUGUAAAAAAAACUCAUAUCUUUUUUAUCCAUUCCUCAGUUGAUGGGCAUUGGAUUGUUUCCAAGACUUGGCUAUUGCAAAAUGUGCUGCUAUGAACAUGGGCACACAUAUAUCACUAUGGUAUGAUGUUUUCAGUUCUUUUGGGAUAAUAUCCAGAAGCAGGGUAGCUGGGUCAAAUGGAACCUCCAAUCCUAGCUUUUUGAGGAACCUCCACACUGAUUUCCACAAUGGUUGCACCAGUCUACAUUGCCCCAACAGCAGAGAAAAGUUCUUUUUUUCUGCAGAGCCCCUCUAGCAUUGUUAUUAGUUAAUUUCUUAAUCUUGGCCAUUCUUUCUGGAGUGAAAUGGAAUCUCAGUGUUGUUUUAAUUUGGCAAAAUGCAUAUUAUAUGUGGAUUUCAUAUGUGUUUCAUGCUUUAUGGUUUAUAAAACAUUUUAUGCACUGUAGCUCACUUUAGUUUUUAUACAUUGGGGCCAUUCAAAAUCCCGGUUUUGGCCAGGUACAGUGGGGGCAUGCUUGUAACCGCAGCUCUAGGGAAGCUGAGGCAGGAGGAUCGCUGAAAGUUCGAGGCCAGCCUAGGCUGCAUUGCAAGACCCUGUCUAAAAAAAAAAGAAAAAUAGUUCCAGUUUGAUUCCAUAAUUCCUGGCUUAGUCUCAUACUUAAUUGCGUUCCAUGUGCUGGAGAACUGAGAAAUGAUGUAUAAUCUACUGCCAAGAGACUGGCACCAAGAGAGACCUCUUUAGACAAGUGGCAAUUAGAUCAAACCACCAUGGAGUGUUUCAGACGUGCAGUGGAGGACCGACCACUUCUGAUUGGGAGAUCAGAGUUUUUUAGGAAAUUUGCUUUCCUUCUGCAGGAGGGAAAGUGUAAGGUCUCCCUCUGUGCACAGAUCUAGGCUCUCUGUGCUGCAGGCCCCUGGUGGGCUCUCACUGGGCAUAGACAGGGCCUCAGUAUGCUGGCAGGCUCCUCUGUCAUCCCUGUUGAAAUGUUUGCUUUUACAGAAAUUUCUAUUUCCAGACUAGUGCUUUAUAUUUAAAAAGAUACAAAUUUAUACUAAAAGCUCCCAGAUCUGUUGUGUGAGGUGGAUGUCAUUACUCUAAACCUUUGUCACAUUUACUGAGCCCAAAAACUCCAAGCAAGCUCAAAUGCAGAAGUGUAGAGAGAAGUUGAGAAGCCUCAGCAGGAUGGUGCAGAAUGUGCUCCCAGUCAGGUGAUGGCCUGGCUCCCGCAUGGCUCCCUGGGGCUCCUGUGUCUGCUGUCCUCACAGGUUUCUUCCUGCAGACCCAUCUGCCUGUGACCCGCUGGCCAUCGCUGGCUCAGUUUGCUGCCCACAGAGUCUGCCCAGACUCCCAGGUCCCCCCUCCUCAUUCAGGCCUCCAUUGUCUCCUUGUCAGGCUGAAAGAGCCUGAAUCUGGAGGAAGGGAAAAACUCACUCAAAGCAGGAAGUGCAGUUCCAGCAUACGGUAUACUUAGUCCCAUCACAGAGACUCCUGCUGGGGACUGUGCAUGCCCUAGAAUGUGGCUGGAAGGUGUCCGGCCAGAUGUAGCUUCUAGAGUUCAUCCCCAUGAAAGAGUCGUCCAGCUGCUUCCUUUCCAUUACAUUUCAGCCAGCAACUCCCUGGCAUCAGCACUCUGGGAAGUCACUCCCUGCUGUCACCUAAGCUCACUGCCACCUUCAACUCGCCCUCACUGGUCUGCUUUUUGGCUUUCUGUUGCAAAGCUUCCUUAUGGCUUAACAGCAUUUCUGAAAGCAACCUAGCAUCUUUGUGAGCUGCUGCUGGUUCUUCCUGGGCUGAGCCCUUUGCUCUGAAGAUUCCCAAACCUUUGUCCAGAAACUUCCCCAAACCCCACCUUCUAGAGCAGAUCCUAGAGCAGCAGCUUCCAGUAGGUGCCACAGCCACCAAGGGCCACCUACUGUCUUCGGGCUCAUCCUCUGGUUUCUUCUGAGCUGCUUACAGUCUCUGCCCUUCCCCUGCUGGCAGGUCUGCUAUGCAUUCCCUUUCUGGGCUGAUUGUCUUCCUGACUGUUCUCUGAUCCUCCUUAGUGGUGUCUGGAGAUGGCGACUUCUUUGGGUUUAGCAGUGGCUGGGGUCUGUGCAGGAUGAAACAGCUUAUCCACACCGCUGGUCCCCAUCUGAUGGCCAAGGUAGAGGGGCUGUAUCUAGUGAGGGCCUUUGUACUGAUAGGACUGCAAAGCCCCCCCCCCCCCGUUCCCCCAUGAGGCAGAGCCACCCCCAGGCCGGGUGCAUCAUCUCCGUGGGAACAGAAUGACUGACAGGUCUUCAGGAAGUUGGGCUGAGAAGGGAAAGUGCAUGCAGUGGUGUCUACCCCGUGGCUUGCGGGCUCUUUACCUUCUUUUUAAGAAUAUUAUAAUAAAAUAUUUGUAAAUGAAGGAAAUCUGAAACUUACAUACAUUAGCUAUGCACAGCCCAAGAUAAUUCCCCUUCAUUCAGUGUGCCCAGGAAAGCAAAGGGUUGGAUGCCCACGGCUGUGGGUUGUUUUGAUGAAGGAAGGCCUAGUGUCUGUGUCAGUAUCAAUGCCAGUGUGUUACCUCCAGGAGCCAGGGGGCUAAGAAAACCUGAGACAGGCACCUAUGGCUGAGCUUCUCUUCUGGGCAGCCCUGGUCCUUACCUAGAGCAUCGCUUCCUGGCUCCAGGGCAGACCCCUCAGCCUGCCGGCACAGCUCCUUCAUCCUGCUGCUGCAGGCUUUCCAGCUUCCACUUGAGAACCAUCAGAGCCCUACAAUCAGAAGAAAAAGGCAAGGCAACGAACCCAUAGAUGUUCAUGUGUGAACCCAGCAAGAUUCUUUAAGAAAAACUACCUCACUGUACACCCUCCACUUUGUGACCGCAGGUUGUGUGUCCCCUCCUUAGAACGUUACUGAGUCUCAGAAGGAAGUUCUCCUGUGAUUUUUGUGCAUUAGUGAUUUCCUUGGAAUUUGGACAUGCUAAUCAGAAAACUGGGAGGUUUGUUCUUCCUGUGGGAAACCAUACUUCAUUCUGCCAGGAAGAAACAGGUAAAAUGUCACUUGUGACAGAGGUUUUAUCAUUUUACACGAUUCAGCCUGGCUGUUUUCAGCUCCCCUGAGUGAUUGAUCUGAAAGUUUUGUGUUGUGAACUUGCAGAUGACAUCAUUAUGUUCUGUGGUGAGCUUCCCAAACCAUUGUGCUGUGCACAGUAGAUGACAAAUACGUAUUUACAUCUUUGAGGACAAAAAUUGGACUUUCUCGUCAUGCAUACAUUUAACUACUGCUGACUUUUAGGGUGCUGCUCAAAUUGACCUGAGUGAGGAGGCUCAGGCAUCAUGAUUUAGUUUUCUCCAAUAUGCUAUGCCAUAGAAACUUGCUGGGAAGCAGUUGGUAUGAUCAUUUUUCCAAUCAAGGCCUUUCUGUAGUUAUUGGACUUGGAGAGACAGCGCUUAUCAGACCCCCGGUGACUCUCAAGACUGUACCUUUACCUGCUCCGACAGGCCAGCUGUAUGCACUAAAUUUGAAACCACAGGAGGAAGAAACAAGGUCAUUGCAAAUGUGCGUUAGGAAGCAGAGAAAUUACAUUCCUGUUGGACACUUGAACACAGUAACUAGAAAACCACAGUUUCGGAGAAAUGGACAGAAUUUCUAAGAUGGCUUGUGGUUUUCCUCUUUUUGACUUUAAAAAAAAAAUAGAAGCCCUAUCCAGGAUAGUGGUAUGUUCAGAGAGGUUAAUGGUCCUUAACCAAGUUUGCCCACCAAGGAAGAACUUACUAUGGAAACUACAGAUGAUUGUACUUUAUUAUUGUUGUUGUUGUUGUUGUUAUUGUCCCAGAAGUGUUCUAAAAUUUUUAACUGUGGCCAAAUCCUAUGCAGCAUGUGGGUCCAGCUGGGAGUCAUGAUUGUUGUCAUUGUGCCCCCAGUACCUAGAAAACUUUUAUCUGAUACAUCCGAGUGUCCUCACCGAGUCUCUAGAAAAUCAAGGCUCCCAUGGGAGGCCCACUUCUAACCCCCAUGUUACAAGGGAGGAGAAGAGUGGAUCUGAGUGAGGGUGGCCCCUCUCGGGACUGGUGUAAGGAGAGGCGGGGAGCACAGGUACUCUGUGACCCCUGGCAGGGUUUUAAUCUUUUCCCCUUCAGUACGCAGUCCUGGACGUCUGCUUCAGAUUUGGUAGAUCCUGGGUCCUUUUCUCCUGAAGAUCAGAGUGCUGUUACAAGUGACUGUCGUCAUUCGGAGGUGCCUCCUGAAUGCUGGCGUGCUUUUCUCACCCAUUAACCACCAGCACCAUUCACAUAUUCUUGUGAACCACAGCAGAACAGAUGCUCUAGGCCAAGUAGUCCUGCUCUGCGGACACCGAGCACUUUAAUCAAGUUAGACAAAAGAGGUUUCACCACUCAGUGCAAUAGUCCCCAGCUGUAUUGCUAAGAGAAAGAAAAAGACUUGGUAUUUUCACAAACAUGAGCAAGACACUGCUCAUCACUGCCAUCACUGUGAGCAUCCGUCUUGCCUCCACCCAUAGUCAGGUGGUGAUGUGCUGUGAACCUGGGGCCCUGCUGCUGAGGGGUAAAGUGCUCCCAGAGAGCCAGUGAGGUGGGAAGGGAGAGCGUGAAGCCUCCCUACCCGUCAGCGUUCGGUGCCUGGCUGCAGAGUGUCUGUCUGUCUCACUACUUCUCCUCUUUCCCUUCUUCCCUCCCUUCAUUUCUUUCUUCCUUAAAUUUCAGUUUAAAGACCAUCAGCAUCCUUCUGUGCUUGUACCAAAAUCAAUUACACUUUCUGUACCAGCCGUCAAAUUGAAGCAUACUAUCUAGUUUUUAAAUAACUUCCCAAAACUUUUAAUGCUAUAAAGAAAACGCCAAAGAAAUGUAAUUUUAAUGGAGAUAUUGAAAAACUCUAGCUUCAAUCUGAUAUGCUAAUUUUUAUCCUUCCUAAGCAAUUUUAUGUCCAACAAAUUAACUCAAAACCAGGUGGUGAUAAUAACAUUAUUGACUAUUUCAAAAAUGCAGUCAGCAUAGGUGCAUAUUCUUUUAAGGUUCUGUGUAAAUACCUAUACUAUUAAAUUGUAAAACAAUCAAGAAAUCAAGUCUUUCAGAGUUAUCUAUUGCUAUUGUUUCUUCAGCAUUGAAGCCCUUGCCAUAGCCAUUACGAUAAAACGUUCCCUAAGUACAUAAAGGCUCUGAUCGUUAAGAUUUUUAUUGCCAGCCACACAUACAGAGCUGCAAAUUGCCUUGUUUCAGAUUUAUUAUGUAUUACUCCAGAAAUUCUAUAAAGAUCAAAAGAACUGAUUACAAUGUUGACCUUUGCAUUAACUCAUCUGAAUUUAAAUUCAAGUGUUUGAUUUGGGAAAAUAAGUCCAUUUAUCAUAGGUCUGCUACUAAGGGAUUGUGCCACGCUGAUUGGGAGUGCUGAGACCAAAUUUAUUUAUUGAGCGUGGGCUUGAAAAUUGUUUGUAGGACAAGAGGAACAAAAGUUUGACCUGCCGUUGUGUAGCACCAGGGGAACACUGUGGACAUUGCCCUUUUCAAAUUUGCAGUAGUCAUGCCUUUAGAGUCUUGUUGAUAGAAUCACACACAUAAAAUGGAGCAAAUAUGUACUGUUUUAGUCAUCUAUAACAUUCCGUGAUCUAAAAUUAAUAACUCCUCAUUAACGAAAAAAAUAAUCUGUCCAACACAGAGCCUGUCUUUUGGAAAAUACGGAGAUGCCUCCCACUGUGAAACUAGCCUUGUAUAUUUAUGCUUGAACUCACACUUGUCUUUUUUUCCCCCAAUUUAUUGAGAAAAAACUUAUUUGUAACAAUCUCUUCCUGUAUAGGAUUAUGGAUUUGAUUAGCUUUCACCAGUUGAACUGUUUGGUUAUCUGCACAUAGAAAUUCUGAAUUUCAACCCAUGCAGUAUAGCCACCCACACUCCAAGUAGAGGUCUCGUCCAGGUGGGCACCCCUUCCGAUCUGCAUUCAGACAGGCCAGCUUAGAAGGUGAUGUGACACAGGGCAGGAGGACAGUCAGCAGCAGACGUGUGUGACUGUCCCUGAAUACUCACGCUACUCUGUAUCAGUGAGAACACCUAGGACUGGACGUUGUUAAGUACAGUGAUGAUAGACGUAACUUGUCCCAUCAUAAUGUGAAGAGCCUGUGGAUGAAGGGGGAGAAGCACACCGUGCUGGGGAGCAGGGUUUAUAUCCAUCUUAAUACUGCCUCAGAUCUCUGCUCUUCCGCUUAUUAACCCCCAACCCCCAACCCCAGCAGGAGAGGCCAGGGAGCUUCCCAUUUGCAAAGUCUUGAUGGGAGGAUGAGGAACAAUUGCAUCAUCAUUCCCUUGACAUCUUACAGGGAUUUGUCCUGAGACCUUUGUCCUGUAAGGCGGAAAAUGUGAAAUUCAGUGAGUAUACCUUAGAUUAUUGUGACCCUUCAGACUAUUGAUGAUUCCCAUAACAAAAGACUAUGUAUAAAGCUAUUAAAUUCUGCCACUAAAGGUAACACGUAGCACAUAGCAUCAUUUCAGUGACAUUAACCCCAAAUUUGCAGAACCUGCAAAUCUGGAACAGUGUUGACAUAGUGGCACUAGAUACAGCAAAUGGACUGAGAUGCGUGCGACUCCUCAGGUGGAUUGUCUGGCUUGGUCCAUGUGCUCAUUUCACAUCAGAACUGCCGAAAAGCAUGAAAGAUUUCAUCCAGUGCCUGUGUGUCUCUUGAAUAACUUCUCUUACGAGACUUCUUGAAUUCAAACUUGAAAAAAGUUCUAGACCAGAAUACAGACUGUCCUUAUUUGACACCUACAGGAACCCGUGAGAAGCAGAAUCAAUUUGGUUUGUGAUAGAAAGAUAAGAGGAAGGAGUGGUUUUAAUUUCAUCUGCAUAUAGUGUGGGAGCAAACAGUCCUGGCAAGAGAGAGGUAAAGUUCUGCAUAUUAAAAAUCUUACUUAAAUAUUAUAUUCUGUUCAUCUUUAAAGAAGCUUUUUUUUUAAUUUUUGAAAUUUAAAACAAAAACUGAAAUAUAGUAUGAAAUCCAUGAAGGUUGAAAUUCUUGAGUCUUUGGCAAUUUGAAAUUCUUGAUGUUAACUGAAUUACUGAAUUAGUGGACAAUCUACUUACUGAAUUAAUUUACAGCUCUCCUUUUCCUUUAUUUAGUGUAAGUGGACAUUGAAGCCCUAAAUGACUUACUGCACUUUGAAGAGUUUGACUGUCUGCCUCCCCGGACCUGAGUGUGUCAGCUGAUAUGCUCCUGUGCAUUGCAGAAGUCAAUCUUUCCCUUCUUGUAUGUUAGUGUCUUGAGUGAUGAUAGGUGCCGACGCCGAGCCCAGCCAAUAACAAGAGGAUAGUGUACUUCUCCCCGGACUCGCAUCACCACGA